GACGAACGCUGGCGGCGUGCUUAACACAUGCAAGUCGAACGAUGUGGCGAACGGGUCAGUAAUAAGUGGGUGACCCGACCUCCUGUUUGGGAUAAGCCUUGGAAACAGUGUCUAAUACCGGCAUUAGGGUGAUGGGCUCGCGGCCUAUCAGCUUGUUGGUGGGGUGGUGGCGUACCAGGGCGGUGACGGGUAGCCGGCCUGAGAGGGCGACCGGCCACAUUGGGACUGAGAUACGGCCCAGACUCCUACGGGAGGCAGCAGUGGGGGAUAUUGCACAAUGGGCGAAAGCCUGAUGCAGCCAGGCCGCGUGUAUGAAGAAGGCCUUAGGGUUGUAAAGUACUUUCAGCGGGGAGACGUUACCCGCAGAAGAAGCACCGGCUAACUACGUGCCAGCCGCCGCGGUAAUUC
rnacentral:rRNA from 1 species